UACAGAGGUCUCAAGCGUUGUUCGGAUUCAUUGGGCGUAAAGGGUGCGUAGGCGGCGCGGUAAGUCGGGUGUGAAAUCUCGGGGCUUAACUCCGAAACUGCAUUCGAUACUGCCGUGCUUGAGGACUGGAGAGGAGACUGGAAUUUACGGUGUAGCAGUGAAAUGCGUAGAUAUCGUAAGGAAGACCAGUGGCGAAGGCGGAUCUCUGGGCCAUUACUGACGCUGAGGAGCGAAAGCGUGGGGAGCGAACAGG
rnacentral:rRNA from 1 species